rnacentral:rRNA from 1 species
GGACUACAAGGGUUUCUAAUCCCGUUUGCUCCCCUAGCUUUCGCGCCUCAGCGUUAGAAAAGGUCCAGCAGCUCGCUUUCGCCACCGGCGUUCCUUCCGAUAUCAACGCAUUUCACCGCUCCACCGGAAGUUCCAGCUGCCCCUACCUCCCUCCAGCCGAUCCGUAUCCAAGGCCCUUUUCCGGUUGAGCCGAAAGAUUUCACCCCGGACGUGAUCGACCGCCUACGCGCCCUUUAAGCCCAGUGAUUCCGAACAACGUUCGCACGGUUCGUCUUACCGCGGCUGCUGGCAC